GGUUGUGUAGUGUAGUGGUUAUCACUCUGGAUUUUGAGCUCAUCACUCAUCACUUCCAGUAACCCCGGUUCGAACCCGGGCACGACCU